rnacentral:rRNA from 1 species
UACGUAGGGGGCAAGCGUUGUCCGGAAUCAUUGGGCGUAAAGCGCGUGUAGGCGGUUCGGUAAGUCUGCUGUGAAAGUCCAGGGCUCAACCCUGGGAUGCCGGUGGAUACUGUCGGACUAGAGUACGGAAGAGGCGAGUGGAAUUCCCGGUGUAGCGGUGAAAUGCGCAGAUAUCGGGAGGAACACCAAUUGCGAAGGCAGCUCACUGGGGCGUUACUGACGCUGAGACGCGAAAGCGUGGGGAGCAAACAGG